rnacentral:rRNA from 1 species
CCUACGGGUGACUGCAGUGAGGAAUAUUGGUCAAUGGACGGAAGUCUGAACCAGCCAUGCCGCGUGCAGGAAGACGGCUCUAUGAGUUGUAAACUUCUUUUGUACAAGGGUAAACCUGAAUACGUGUAUUCAUCUGAAAGUACUUUACGAAUAAGGAUCGGCUAACUCCGUGCCAGCAGCCGCGGUAAUACAUAGGGUGCAAGCGUUGUCCGGAAUGACUGGGUGUAAAGGGUGUGUAGGUGGCUUAUUAAGUUAGUGGUGAAAGCCUGAGGCUCAACUUCGAAACUGCCUUUAAAACUGGUUGGCUUGAGUGUGGGAGAGGUUAGUGGAACUCCUGGUGUAGCGGUGGAAUGCGUAGAUAUUAGGAAGAACAUCAAUGGCGAAGGCGACCAACUGGACCGUUACUGACACUGAAGCACGAAAGCGUGGGGAGCAAACAGGAUUAGAUACCCGAGUAGUC